GUGCUUGAUUGUAUUAAAGAGGGUCAUAUAAGAACCACAUGCACAAAUAAAACUACACACGAUACACAUCUGAAAGGCAAUCAUCAAUGUUGCGACUAGCAAUGUUUAGGGUUCGUCCAAACUAGGAGGGUGUUGUUGGAACAUACUAUUCCGAUAGGAAAACAGGACCACAAUGCCCUGCAAGACACAGUCAUGUACUGGGAUGUCCCACCAUCCAUCCCAAUUAAAAUCGAUUGGGACAUGGCUGUUAGGGGACUUGGUUCGACCAGUACCCAGCAUACCUGACUAUGUUGCCUGAUUCCAAGAAGAAAAAGGGAGAGCACCUAGGACA
rnacentral:lncRNA from 1 species